GGGCAACCUGCCUAUAAGACUGGGAUAACUUCGGGAAACCGGAGCUAAUACCGGAUACGUUCUUUUCUCGCAUGAGAGAAGAUGGAAAGACGGUUUACGCUGUCACUUAUAGAUGGGCCCGCGGCGCAUUAGCUAGUUGGUGAGGUAAUGGCUCACCAAGGCGACGAUGCGUAGCCGACCUGAGAGGGUGAUCGGCCACACUGGGACUGAGACACGGCCCAGACUCCUACGGGAGGCAGCAGUAGGGAAUCUUCCGCAAUGGACGAAAGUCUGACGGAGCAACGCCGCGUGAACGAAGAAGGCCUUCGGGUCGUAAAGUUCUGUUGUUAGGGAAGAACAAGUACCAGAGUAACUGCUGGUACCUUGACGGUACCUAACCAGAAAGCCACGGCUAACUACGUGCCAGCAGCCGCGGUAAUACGUAGGUGGCAAGCGUUGUCCGGAAUUAUUGGGCGUAAAGCGCGCGCAGGUGGUUCCUUAAGUCUGAUGUGAAAGCCCACGGCUCAACCGUGGAGGGUCAUUGGAAACUGGGGAACUUGAGUGCAGAAGAGGAAAGUGGAAUUCCAAGUGUAGCGGUGAAAUGCGUAGAGAUUUGGAGGA
rnacentral:rRNA from 1 species